GACGUAGGGCGCGAGCGUUGUCCGGAUUUAUUGGGCGUAAAGAGCUCGUAGGCGGCUUGUUGCGUCGGCUGUGAAAACCCGCGGCUUAACCGCGGGCCUGCAGCCGAUACGGGCAGGCUAGAGUUCGGUAGGGGAGACUGGAAUUCCUGGUGUAGCGGUGAAAUGCGCAGAUAUCAGGAGGAACACCGGUGGCGAAGGCGGUUCUCUGGGCCUUACCUGACGCUGAGGAGCGAAAGCGUGGGGAGCGAACAGG
rnacentral:rRNA from 1 species